rnacentral:rRNA from 1 species
GAUGAACGCUAGCGGCAGGCUUAACACAUGCAAGUCGAGGGGUAUAGUAGCAAUACUAGAGACCGGCGCACGGGUGCGUAACGCGUAUGCAAUCUACCUUUCACAGAGGGAUAGCCCAGAGAAAUUUGGAUUAAUACCUCAUAGUAUAGUACCUUGGCAUCAAGGAACUAUUAAAGUCACAACGGUGAAAGAUGAGCAUGCGUCCCAUUAGCUAGUUGGUAUGGUAACGGCAUACCAAGGCUACGAUGGGUAGGGGUCCUGAGAGGGAGAUCCCCCACACUGGUACUGAGACACGGACCAGACUCCUACGGGAGGCAGCAGUGAGGAAUAUUGGACAAUGGGCGCAAGCCUGAUCCAGCCAUGCCGCGUGCAGGAUGACGGUCCUAUGGAUUGUAAACUGCUUUUGCACAGGAAGAAACAACGCUACGUGUAGCGUCUUGACGGUACUGUGAGAAUAAGGAUCGGCUAACUCCGUGCCAGCAGCCGCGGUAAUACGGAGGAUCCAAGCGUUAUCCGGAAUCAUUGGGUUUAAAGGGUCCGUAGGCGGUCUUAUAAGUCAGUGGUGAAAUCUCCCCGCUCAACGGGGAAACGGCCAUUGAUACUGUAAGACUUGAAUUAUUAGGAAGUAACUAGAAUAUGUAGUGUAGCGGUGAAAUGCUUAGAGAUUACAUGGAAUACCAAUUGCGAAGGCAGGUUACUACUAAUGGAUUGACGCUGAUGGACGAAAGCGUGGGUAGCGAACAGGAUUAGAUACCCUGGUAGUCCACGCCGUAAACGAUGGAUACUAGCUGUUGGGUGCAAACUCAGUGGCUAAGCGAAAGUGAUAAGUAUCCCACCUGGGGAGUACGUUCGCAAGAAUG